CCCUUCUUUCAAGCCAUGUUAUUUUGUGAGAGCAUGAGGCCUUUUUUCAGGAUUGAGCUUGGUAGAACGUGUUAGGUUGGAGCCGACAAGAGUAGUAUCUCAUGUGGUUCCAAUCCGCGUUUUCGGACUUGGUAGGAGUAGGUGGGAACUUAUUUGGGGAUUGAGAUUGAGUGUGAAAAGGAAAAAAAAA
rnacentral:sRNA from 1 species